GUCUUCUUAGAAGCCACAUCAAAUGAUUGAAUCAAGGCAGAUAUUAUGAAUCCAGACCUAUAAGAAAAUUGAUCAGCCUUCUAUUUGAUGAAUAAAAGCAGAGUGACCUAAAGCCCCAGUAAGACAGUGAAAAGAACUACCUUCUACAGUUCUAGUCCAGCCAGUAACUGGUCUUCAUUCCCCUUGGCAACUCACUGAGGAGGCAUAGGCAAAACUGGAGGUGGUGCCCAGGCUCUGACAUGCUGAAGGGGAGGUACAUGCUACUUUUGAUGAAGAUGAAAGUUCCUGUUGGGUCCAGGAAAAACAUACUACCCAUCCAUGUUUCUGAAAGUCAG
rnacentral:lncRNA from 1 species